GAGCGCCGUAGCAAUACGUCAGCGGCAGACGGGUGAGUAACGCGUGGGAACGUACCUUUUGGUUCGGAACAACACAGGGAAACUUGUGCUAAUACCGGAUAAGCCCUUACGGGGAAAGAUUUAUCGCCGAAAGAUCGGCCCGCGUCUGAUUAGCUAGUUGGUGAGGUAAUGGCUCACCAAGGCGACGAUCAGUAGCUGGUCUGAGAGGAUGAUCAGCCACAUUGGGACUGAGACACGGCCCAAACUCCUACGGGAGGCAGCAGUGGGGAAUAUUGGACAAUGGGCGCAAGCCUGAUCCAGCCAUGCCGCGUGGGUGAUGAAGGCCCUAGGGUUGUAAAGCCCUUUCGGCGGGGAAGAUAAUGACGGUACCCGCAGAAUAAGCCCCGGCUAACUUCGUG
rnacentral:rRNA from 1 species